GCCAGGUGUGGUGGCGCAUGCCUGUAAUCCCAGCGGCUAGGAAGACUGAGACAGGAGAAUUUCGAGUUCAAAGCCAGCCUCAGCAAUUUAGAGAGGUGCUAAGCAACUCAAUGAGACCCUGUCUCUG
rnacentral:sRNA from 1 species